UAAGCAUCUGGCAUUUCCCCUGCUGGUACUCAUUCUUUCUCCUGCUGCCCUGUGAAGAUGUGCCUUCUGCCAUGAUUGUAAGUUUCCUGAGGGCUCCCCAGCCAUGCAGAACUUCUCCCUCUUUCUCUUGUGUGCACCAUGUUGUGCCUGUUUCUGUUGUUUUUGACAUGUGCUUAAUCAACCAUCAGAGUAAUUCUCCACUGACUCUCUCCAGCCACUGGACUACAAAGAGAAUAUGUUAUUACAGAAAUCCAUUCCAACCAAGGGGAAUUUGAAGGAAGGAUACAGGAAUUUCGCUUAGAAUGCAAGAACAGUG